UACGUAGGUGGCGAGCGUUGUCCGGAUUUAUUGGGUUUAAAGGGUGCGUAGGCGGUCCUAUAAGUCAGUGGUGAAAUAUCGCAGCUCAACUGUGAGGGUGCCAUUGAUACUGUAGGACUUGAGUGAAUUUGAGGUAGGCGGAAUUGACGGUGUAGCGGUGAAAUGCUUAGAUAUCGUCAAGAACACCGAUAGUGAAGACAGCUUACCAAGCUUCAACUGACGCUGAGGCACGAAAGGGUGGGGAUCAAACAGG
rnacentral:rRNA from 1 species